rnacentral:rRNA from 1 species
CGGGGACCCGCACAAGCAGCGGAGCGUGUGGUUUAAUUCGUUGCUACACGAAGAACCUUACUGGGUUUGACAUAUAGGUUGUAGGGAACUGAAAAGGGACCGACCUUCGGGAGCCUAUACAGGUGUUGCAUGGCUGUCGUCAGCUCGUGUCGUGAGAUGUUCGGUUAAGUCCGCUAACGAGCGCAACCCUCGUCGUAUGUUAUAUGUGUCAUACGAGACUGCCGGUAAAAGCCGGAGGAAGGUGAGGAUGAUGUCAAGUCAGCAUGACCUUUAUAUCCAGGGCUACACACACGCUACAAUGGUCUGUACAAUGGGUAGCCAAGCCGCGAGGCGGAGCCAAUCCUGAAAGCAGGCCUCAGUUCAGAUUGCAGUCUGCAACUCGACUGCAUGAAGCCGGAGUUGCUAGUAACCGCAGGUCAGCAAUACUCGCGGUGAAUACGUUCCCGGGUCUU